rnacentral:rRNA from 1 species
UACGUAGGGGGCAAGCGUUGUCCGGAAUCAUUGGGCGUAAAGAGCGCGUAGGCGGUCCGGUAAGUCCGCUCUGAAAGUCCGGGGCUCAACCCCGGGAGGCGGGCGGAUACUGUCGGGCUAGAGUCCGGAAGAGGCGAGUGGAAUUCCUGGUGUAGCGGUGAAAUGCGCAGAUAUCAGGAGGAACACCGAUUGCGAAGGCAGCUCGCUGGAACGUUACUGACGCUGAGACGCGAAAGCGUGGGGAGCAAACAGG